UUCAUAUUUGGUACGUUAUGUACUUAAGUAGAGAAAUUGUUUUUUUUGAGAAUAAGUAGUACGCUACCUGUUUCAUUUUUUGAAAAUAUGAAUUAGGCUACAGUGGUGAGAUAAUAAGGGCCUCGGAAAAAACAUCGAAUCGAAAAAAAAAGAAAAAGAAAAAGAAAAAGAAAGAAGAUCAUAGUAGGUCGUUCUAAGAGUCAAUCAGUUGCUUGAGGCUUCGCACGGCUAAUACAGGAUCGAUCUGUAUGUUGCGAAAAUAAAAUUAUUUCUGACCUUGCAGAUGGUCCACCGGCAUGCC
rnacentral:lncRNA from 1 species